AUAGUACAUUACCUAUUCCUACUUACCCCAUUGCCAUCACAGGUUCCUACCAUUUUUGCUUUUUUAAAAAAAUGUUUUUUUUUUCAGUUUUAUUGAGAUAUAUUUGGCAUACCCAAGCCUUUUUUUUUUUUUUUUUUUUUUUUUUUUUUUAAGUAAACUCUACAUCCAUUGUGGGGCUCGACCCAGGAUCCUGAGACUAAGAGUCACACGCUCCAUCAACUGAGCCAGGCCAGUGCCCUCAUUUUUGCUUCUUAAUCAUGGAGGAUUAGCUGAAAGAGUCAGAUGUGGAAGAAAGGAAUGAGGGGGGAGGUAUCUAGCUAUGAAUGGGUUAAAGUUUGUAUUCUCUCUAAUAUUGCCCUCAGGUAAACCUGACUAGUCCACUAGUUAAUCAAGCAAGAAAAUAUCUUCAAUAUCUUGAGCUAUUAAUAUUUGUGCUAUUCUUUUUCCCACUCCCUUUGCUCCUCCCUUAGGAAGAGGAUCCACAUUGUUUCAAGAAUAUGAGAGGUAUGGUAAGAAUGUAAAGGCCAAGGAACAAUCAAUAUGCCCCUUUUGAGGACUCAGCAGGGAAAAGCCAUGUCUUCACUGGCAAAAUCGCAGUACAAGACGACCCAUUCAGAUCCGCCCUCGACGUACAGCACAGCCUACUUACCAGCCUCAAAGGAACGCCAGGCAGUUAGUGAAAUGCAGAGCAUCAAGGGGCCUUCCAAGGUAUGUGCUGGAUCCAAAGUGAGGCUCUGCUCCCAGGAAGAUGUCUUGCAUAGGCAGGGAACAAAUAUUUGUGUAACGGACCAAUUAUUAUAGAUAGCUCUGACGUUCUUAUCCUUUGUGGAUAAGUAAAAAGGUCGAGAUUUUGAGUCAAGAUGUGAAUGAAGGAAUCACUUUGCUCUUUUUAAUAAGCAUCAAAAUCGAUUUGUGAAAAAAAAAAAUCGAUUUGUGUUCCUCCGUAAGGGACAGGUUGAUAAAGAGGCCAUUGGCCAGAAUCACACUGAUGUGGCUAAUGCAUCCCUAAUGCAUUUCCUUAGUUCAGGGAACAGUCCUAUAGACAUUGAAUGCAUUUUAUUCUUUGGAACGAUUUAUUGCAUUUAUAUGAUGCCCUUAGAAUUUUUGUGCUUUUGACUGGUUUCACUAAAAACAGAAAAUAUUUUGUUAUGAAAAAUAUCUUUUGAUAUUUUUCCCAUUUCUUCAUCUUUCCUUUUUUUCUAUAUGAAGGUAUUCUUUUGGAAAAUUGCAUCUAUAUUUAUUGAGAAAGAUUGCAUUCUCAGUUUGAGAAUUUAAGAAUUACGAAUUAAGUUGUCAGAUAACUUAUUUGAUACUAAAAUUAGGGUUACAAUUCUAGUUUUAUUUAUUCAAUGCUAGAACACAGCAUUAACUAAAGCACAUUUUAUUUGAUUAUGCUGUGCUAAAAAAUGGAGAUGUGUUAGCUAGACAAUGACUGGUUUUCAACAUACCUUAUGCUAUGUUACUCUGCGUUAGAAAUGAAGGCACUUUUGGGUGUGCAUUAAUGACAAGGAGCUACAACUUAGAUUUCUAGUUUCUGAGAUUUAUAAUGAAAAGAAGAUGAUUUUUAUUUUUUUAAAGAUUUUUAUUUAUUUAUUCAUAGAGACACAGAGAGAGAGAGAGAGAGAGAGGCAGAGACAUAGGCAGAGGGAGAAGCAGGCUCCAUGCAGGGAGCCCAACGUGGGACUCGAUCUCAGGUCUCCAGGAUCACACCCCAGGCUGCAGGCGGCACUAAACCGCUGCGCCACAGGGGCUGCCCAAGAAGAUGAUUUUUAAAAAUCAGUUUACCAUAUUAUGAAUGUCAUAUCUCUUUGACAAGCUGGUAUUAUUUGGAAUGAGGAAAUGCUGAAGGGUAUCUGGUCAAGGCAGUGUGUUUAUAAUCUGAAGCUUUCAUAUCCUGAAUCAGAUCUUUGUCAACAAAUAAGGGUGACACAAAAAUAUUUGUGAAAUUAUUUGUAAAUUAGCCAAGUUAAAAAUGGGCCAAAUGAUCCUAUAAAGACUUUGACCUUUUAGACAAGCACUAUUAAAUAAUGAACUGUAAAAUAGAGAUGACCAUAAUACAUUGAUGCAUAAUGAUCAUAAUGUAAGUACCAUCUUAAUAGUCUUGGCAUCCAUCAGAAAACCUAUAACUUCUAUGACAUCGUGAAGAGGCUGUUUUGGACUCAGACCAAAAUAAGUUAAUUAAAUUGUGAUAUUUUACCAGAUAAAAACCAAGAGUGAAC
rnacentral:lncRNA from 1 species